rnacentral:rRNA from 1 species
UACGAAGGGUGCAAGCGUUACUCGGAAUCACUGGGCGUAAAGCGUGCGUAGGUGGUGAGUUAAGUCUGUCGUGAAAGCCCCGGGCUCAACCUGGGAAUGGCGAUGGAUACUGGCUCGCUAGAGUGCGGUAGAGGAGAGUGGAAUUCCCGGUGUAGCAGUGAAAUGCGUAGAGAUCGGGAGGAACAUCAGUUGCGAAGGCGGCUCUCUGGACCAGCACUGACACUGAGGCACGAAAGCGUGGGGAGCAAACAGG